AUUGAACGCUGGCGGCAUGCCUUACACAUGCAAGUCGAACGGCAGCGGACCUUCGGGUGCCGGCGAGUGGCGAACGGGUGAGUAAUAUAUCGGAACGUACCUUUCAGUGGGGGAUAACGUAGCGAAAGUUACGCUAAUACCGCAUAUUCUGUGAGCAGGAAAGCAGGGGAUCGCAAGACCUUGCGCUGAUUGAGCGGCCGAUAUCAGAUUUAGCUAGUUGGUGAGGUAAAGGCUCACCAAGGCGACGAUCUGUAGCGGGUCUGAGAGGAUGAUCCGCCACACUGGAACUGAGACACGGUCCAGACUCCUACGGGAGGCAGCAGUGGGGAAUUUUGGACAAUGGGCGCAAGCCUGAUCCAGCCAUGCCGCGUGAGUGAAGAAGGCC
rnacentral:rRNA from 1 species